ACGGGAGGCAGCAGUGGGGAAUAUUGCACAAUGGGGGAAACCCUGAUGCAGCAACGCCGCGUGAAGGAUGAGGGCCCUUGGGUCGUAAACUUCUGUCCUUGGGGAAGAUAAUGACGGUACCCUUGGAGGAAGCCCCGGCUAACUACGUGCCAGCAGCCGCGGUAAUACGUAGGGGGCAAGCGUUAUCCGGAAUUAUUGGGCGUAAAGAGUACGUAGGCGGUCUAUUAAGCGCAGGGUCUAAGGCUACAGCCUAACUGUAGUUCGCCCUGCGAACUGGCAGACUUGAGUGCAGGAGGGGAAAGCGGAAUUCCUAGUGUAGCGGUGAAAUGCGUAGAUAUUAGGAGGAACACCAGUGGCGAAGGCGGCUUUCUGGACUGUAACUGACGCUGAGGUACGAAAGUGUGGGGAGCAAACAGGAUUAGAUACCCUGGUA
rnacentral:rRNA from 1 species